ACAGGUGAACUGAGACAAUUUAUCUCCUGUUUUGAAAAGUGGAAUAGUAAUUGCUAGUUUCCGUAUCUUAGGGAAAACACUGUUUUUUAAACGUAAAUCAAAGGAUAUAUUAUGUAUUCAGCUACGUGUUUAAACAUUUUAGCCGUAAAUCCAUCAAAACCUGCCGCAAUGCCCUCCUGAAGCUUCAUUAUGAUGUGAAGGACCUCAGAUUGUUCUACUUUGGCAAUGAAGCAACUUCGAAAAGAUACAUUUGGAUAAGGUAGGUACUUCCUAUUUUAUACUAGUUGAGUUUAUACUUGCAAAAGAUUCUGACCAACAUUAAUAAACAAAUCAUUAAGAAUAUUUGAUACUCUAUAAGGAUCGGUAGGUCUUUCUUCU